UACGUAGGGUGCGAGCGUUGUCCGGAAUUAUUGGGCGUAAAGAGCUUGUAGGCGGUUUGUCGCGUCUGCCGUGAAAUUUCGAGGCUCAACCUCGAACUUGCGGUGGGUACGGGGCAGACUAGAGUGUGGUAGGGGAGACUGGAAUUCCUGGUGUAGCGGUGAAAUGCGCAGAUAUCAGGAGGAACACCGAUGGCGAAGGCAGGUCUCUGGGCCACUACUGACGCUGAGAAGCGAAAGCAUGGGGAGCGAACAGG
rnacentral:rRNA from 1 species